rnacentral:rRNA from 1 species
UUCUUGAGUAGUGCAGAGGUAGGCGGAAUUCCCGGUGUAGCGGUGGAAUGCGUAGAUAUCGGGAGGAACACCAGUGGCGAAGGCGGCCUACUGGGCACCAACUGACGCUGAGGCUCGAAAGUGUGGGUAGCAAACAGGAUUAGAUACCCUGGUAGUCCACACCGUAAACGAUGAUUACUAGGUGUUGGAGGAUUGACCCCUUCAGUGCCGCAGUUAACACAAUAAGUAAUCCACCUGGGGAGUACGACCGCAAGGUUGAAACUCAAAGGAAUUGACGGGGGCCCGCACAAGCAGUGGAGUAUGUGGUUUAAUUCGACGCAACGCGAAGAACCUUACCAAGUCUUGACAUCCUGCGACGCACAUAGAAAUAUGUGUUUCCUUCGGGACGCAGAGACAGGUGGUGCAUGGUUGUCGUCAGCUCGUGUCGUGAGAUGUUGGGUUAAGUCCCGCAACGAGCGCAACCCUUAUGGUCAGUUACUACGCAAGAGGACUCUGGCCAGACUGCCGUUGACAAAACGGAGGAAGGUGGGGAUGACGUCAAAUCAUCAUGCCCUUUAUGACUUGGGCUACACACGUACUACAAUGGCGUUAAACAAAGAGAAGCAAGACCGCGAGGUGGAGCAAAACUCAGAAACAACGUCCCAGUUCGGACUGCAGGCUGCAACUCGCCUGCACGAAGUCGGAAUUGCUAGUAAUCGUGGAUCAGCAUGCCACGGUGAAUACGUUCCCGGGCCUUGUACACACCGCCCGUCACACCAUGAGAGCCGGGGGGACCCGAAGUCGGUAGUCUAACCGCAAGGAGGACGCCGCCGAAGGUAAAACUGG